CCUACGGGUGGCUGCAGCAGGGAAUCUUGGACAAUGGGCGAAAGCCUGAUCCAGCGACGCCGCGUGAGGGAUGAAGGCCUUCGGGUUGUAAACCUCUGUUGUGAGGAAAGAAGCCGGGGGUUCACCCCGGUGACGGUACCUCACGAGGAAGCCCCGGCUAACUACGUGCCAGCAGCCGCGGUGAGACGUAGGGGGCGAGCGUUACCCGGAUUCACUGGGCGUAAAGGGCGCGUAGGCGGCUGCGCAAGUCCGGCGUGAAAUGCCACGGCUCAACCGUGGAUCGCCGUCGGAUACUGCGCUGGCUAGAGGACGGUAGAGGCUGAUGGAACAAGCGGUGUAGCGGUGAAAUGCGCAGAUAUCGCUUGGAACGCCAGUGGCGAAGGCGAUCAGCUGGGCCGUUCCUGACGCUGAGGCGCGAAAGCUAGGGGAGCGAACCGGAU
rnacentral:rRNA from 1 species